AUGGAGCGACGCCGCGUGGGUGAUGAAGGUCUUCGGAUUGCAAAACCCUUUCAGCAAGGACGAAUGUAUCGGGUGUUAAUACCACCAGGUAAGAGACGGUACUUGCAGAAGAAGCUCCGGCUAACUCCGUGCCAGCAGCCGCGGUAAGACGGGGGGAGCAAGCGUUGUUCGGAUUUACUGGGCGUAAAGGGCGUCUAGGCGGGCUAGUAAGUCAGGUGUGAAAUCCCCCGGCUCAACCGGAGAACUGCACUUGAAACUGCUGGUCUUGAGUUCGGAAGAGGAAAGCGGAAUUCCUGGUGUAGCGGUGAAAUGCGUAGAUAUCAGGAAGAACACCAGUGGCGAAGGCGGCUUUCUGGUCCGAUACUGACGUUGAAGCGCGAAAGUGUGGGGAGCAAACAGGAUUAGAUACCCUGGUAGUCCACACUGUAAACGAUGGAUGCUAGGUGUCGGAGGUAUCGACCCCUUCGGUGCCGAAG
rnacentral:rRNA from 1 species